rnacentral:rRNA from 1 species
GACGAACGCUGGCGGCGUGCUUAACACAUGCAAGUCGAACGGAAAGGCCCUGCUUUUGUGGGGUGCUCGAGUGGCGAACGGGUGAGUAACACGUGAGUAACCUGCCCUUGACUUUGGGAUAACUUCAGGAAACUGGGGCUAAUACCGGAUAGGAGCUCCUGCUGCAUGGUGGGGGUUGGAAAGUUUCGGCGGUUGGGGAUGGACUCGCGGCUUAUCAGCUUGUUGGUGGGGUAGUGGCUUACCAAGGCUUUGACGGGUAGCCGGCCGGAGAGGGUGACCGGCCACAUUGGGACUGAGAUACGGCCCAGACCCCUACGGGAGGCAGCAGUGGGGAAUAUUGCACAAUGGGCGGAAGCCUGAUGCAGCAACGCCGCGUGCGGGAUGACGGCCUUCGGGUUGUAAACCGCUUUCGCCUGUGACGAAGCGUGAGUGACGGUAAUGGGUAAAGAAGCACCGGCUAACUACGUG